GAUGAACGCUGGCGGCGUGCUUAACACAUGCAAGUCGAACGGUGGUAGCAAUAUCACAGUGGCGCACGGGUGAGGAACACGUAGACUCAUCUGCCCUCGAGCGCGGGAUAACGGUCCGAAAGGAUUGCUAAUACCGCAUAAGCUCACGGAUUGUAGAGGUCUGUGAGAAAAGGCGAAGCUCGGAAGAGCCAGUCACUUGAGGAGGAGGCUGCGGCCCAUCAGGUAGUUGGUGUGGUAACGGCGCACCAAGCCAUCGACGGGUAGGGGACCUGAGAGGGUGAUCCCCCACACUGGGACUGAGACACGGCCCAGACUCCUACGGGAGGCAGCAGUGAGGAAUAUUGCCCAAUGGACGCAAGUCUGAGGCAGCGACGCCGCGUGGGUGAUGAAGGCCUUCGGGUCGUAAAGCCCUUUUCUGUGUGACGAGCAAGGACGGUAGCACAGGAAAAAGUCUCGGCUAACUACGUGCCAGCAGGCCGAC
rnacentral:rRNA from 1 species